rnacentral:misc_RNA from 1 species
GGAAGGAUCAUUAACACUUAUCCAUUACCAACCACGCGAACUAUUAUGUACCUGACGGCUUGGUCAAAACAAGUCACUGGGCUUAUACCCCACCUUGUCAAGCCGUCUUAUUUUCACAAACCACUUUACGUUUUGACUGACUGUUUGGCGUGCCUUAACCGGCCGCAUCAUCAAUCGAAACAACUUUCAGCAACGGAUAUCUUGGCUCUCGUAACGAUGAAGAACGCAGCGAAGUGCGAUAAGCAGUGCGAAUUGCAGAAUUCAGUGAAUCAUCAGAACUUUGAACGCAUCUUGCGCUCUUGGGAUAUACCUGGGAGCAUGUCUGUUUCAGUGUCUUUAAAGAUCCUCAAAGCUUUUGCUUUGGAUAAUGAGCGUCAACUUCUGUUGUCGCUUUAAGUUUAUGGCCGGGAGCUACGUAAAAGUUCUCUUCACUUUGCAGUGCAGUAGUCACGCCUUGCGUGAAUCUCACCGCAAGUGAAUGUAGAACUGUAGUUUUGACAGGCUUUAAUACUCUCUUAUUGAGACCUGAAAUCAGGCAAGAUUACCCGCUGAAUUUAAGCAUAUAACUAAGCGGAGGAAAAGAAACUAACAAGGAUCCCCUGAGUAACGGCGAGUGAAACGGGAGAAGCUCAACUUUAAAAUCCGAGUCCUUCGGGCCUGGAAUUGUAGUCUAUAGGUGCAACACUGGAGAGUGAACAGGUUUAAGUCUCCUGGAAUGGAGUAUCAUAGAGGGUGAGAAUCCCGUCUUUGGCCAUGUUCUACUUGAAAUAGUGUGUUACCAACGAGUCGGGUUGUUUGAGAAUGCAGCCCUAAAUGGGAGGUAAAUUUCUUCUAAAGCUAAAUAUUGACGAGAGACCGAUAGUGAACAAGUACCGUGAGGGAAAGAUGAAAAGAACUUUGAAAAGAGAGUUAAACAGUGCUUGAAAUUGCUGAAAGGGAAGCGAUUGAGACCAGUGUUGCUUCUGCAGAUUAGGACGAGCUGUAUGAGUUGCUUAGUCGUAGUGACCGCAAGGCACUUGAUUGGGUAUACAGAGUGCAGAGCGUUGUUAUUCUGUGGGAGCAGGUCAAGAUCAGUUCGAGUGGCGGGUUAAGGGCAGAAGGAAGGUGAGCAGUAGUUUCGGCUAUUGCUGUUAAGCCUUUUGUCUCUACCGUCGCUUGGACUGAGGUAUGCGAGACGCGCCGCAAGGCGGGGGAUGUGUGUGUCUGUUGGGCUUCUUCUUUUGGACAGUUUACUGUGCUUGGGAUGGAGUUUGGCAAAACUAUGCUACCACUAGCGUCUCCAGGAUCUUGACGAAAUGGUCUUAACCGACCCGUCUUGAAACACGGACCAAGGAGUCAAACAUAUAUGCGAGUAUUUGGGUGACAAACCCACAUGCGUAAUGAAAGUAAAAGGUGGGAACCGCAAGGGGCACCAUCGACCGACUUUCGACUUCUGUCAAGGUUUGAGUAAGAGCAUAUCUGUUUGGACCCGAAAGAUGGUGAACUAUGCCUGAGUAGGGUGAAGCCAGGGGAAACUCUGGUGGAGGCUCGUAGCGAUACUGACGUGCAAAUCGUUCGUCGAACUUGGGUAUAGGGGCGAAAGACUAAUCGAACCAUCUAGUAGCUGGUUCCCUC